AAAGGGCCCCUGGAGAUCAUCCAGUCCAACCCCUCUGCCAAGGCAGGGUCAUCCGGAGCAGGUGACACAGGAACGUGUCCAGUUUGUGGCUGUUGCUCCUUAUCCUGCCCCUGGGUACCACCCAAAAGAAUCCCCAUGCCAGUGUGGAACAGACACUGCCAGACCAGCACUGCCACAAAGUAACGCACAACUCAAAACUGUCCAGUCCAUGCCAACGAAGACAGUGCAAAAUUCCUACACAGCGCCAUAUUGAUCAUACUUAGCUCCUUCAUGAGCUUUCAUGACUUCAUGAAGAACUAGAAUGGUGUGCAGACUUCCAUUGGGGAAAAAGGCUAUUGUGACAUGGGGUGUGCUUUGGACAUAGUACAAAUUGGUCAGUAUUAUGUCUCAACAAAAACAGCUGCACUCCUUCCAAAACGGAAUCCAUAAACCCAGACAGUACUCCAGAGGGCCAUGAGGGGUUAUUAAUGUUUGCUGCCUGAUGUUUGUACAGUGACCAAUCCCAUGCCCUCUCUGCUUUCAUUUUUCAAGACCAAAUAGAUUUUGCUCUUUAGACUAUGCCUAUACUAGGAAGACAUAACCCUGUCACAGGGCCAGGUGCUGGCCCAGGAUUCCUGCUAAUUCUUAUGCUUCCUGGCACAGCCAGGCCUUUGCUAACCAGCAUCUCCCAGACCAUGCCAGCACACAGUGCAGGAGAAGAGCACGGAGCAAAAACUGCUCCUAAUAAGCAGCUUGGACUCAGUUACCCUGCUAUGGAAAGCAGAAUUCAAGACUCCUGAUCAAGACUGAGCCACACAGGAGUCUCUGGUUUGCAGUUCAGAGAAGAAAGCUCUAUUAGUUCUUAAAUUCCUGAUUUUACACUUAGUGGUGUUUUAUUGCACUCAUUUUCACUAUGGGAGUUCAGAAGGUCAUCCGGUUCUCUAUUGUGCAGUA